rnacentral:lncRNA from 1 species
ACACUUCCAUCUCUGUUUAGGGUUUAGAAUCUUAUGAACCUUCGUUUCUAUAUGGAUAUGAGGCGGAGUCCUAACUACAAAACGUUCAUCUCCAAUUGUCAAUUUUUCUCCUUCGUUCACACACUUCUAUAUCCAUUUAGGGUUUAUGAUCUUUGGAACCUCCGUUUCUAUACGUAUCUGAGAUGGAGUCCCAACUAUGAAACAUUCAUCUCCAAUUGUCAAGUCUUCUCUUUUAUUCACACGCUUCCAUCUCCAUUUAGGUUUAGGGUCUUCCGAAGAUCUGUUUCCAUAUGGAUCUGAGUUAGAGUAAUAAUUACGAAACUUACACCUCCAUUUAUGAUUUGGUUUCUACUGUAUCAUAUACUAUAUGGUUCUGCAGCUUAGAUUGUCUACCAUUUUCAGGACUUUCAGACAAGAACAUAAAAUGGUACAAUACCUAGAUACGAUUGUGG